UACGGAGGAUGCAAGCGUUAUCCGGAAUGAUUGGGCGUAAAGCGUCCGCAGGUGGCUAUUUAAGUCUGCUGUUAAAGAGUCUAGCUCAACUAGAUAAAAGCAGUGGAAACUACAUAGCUAGAGUACGUUCGGGGCAGAGGGAAUUCCUGGUGUAGCGGUGAAAUGCGUAGAUAUCUGGAGGAACACCGGUGGCGAAGGCGGCAUCCUGGACCGACACUGACGCUGAGGAGCGAAAGCCAGGGGAGCAAACGGG
rnacentral:rRNA from 1 species